AAAAAAAGAAAAGAGGGAAAAAAACCAACAGAUUGCAAAGUAUUGGAAGUCACAACCCUCAUCCAGAACACAGAAAAUGCAGUUUCAAGUUCUGCUCUCAAGAGGCUGCAGAAGUACCAGUUAGGUGGCUGCUCAGGGAUGGCUUCUCUUGGUUGGUGGAAUUGAUGCCAGUUACACAAAGGAAAAUGAACUGCACAGAACAGACUGUGGGGGGCUGACAUGUAUGGCCCAUCCUGCUGGAGAGGAACUGAGAAACAGCUCCAUUACAGCUGAGAACACCCCACAAGAGCCAACAGUGGUGCAGUACAGCAUUUAAUUAUACACAAAGAAAACAGUAAAGCAGAAUGCCUUAGAUCCAGAUUUCCUCUCUUUCAGAACUCUGUCCUUCCUAUUGGGCUACACUCUUCUUGGAGGUGCUCUGUUCAUGUGGCUUUUAAAAACUGUACUUUCAAAACAGGGUUAUCCAAGAAUAUUUUAAAACCUGAAAAAAUUCCAUCACAAAGCAGGGAAACAAAGGCAUGGUCCAGCCUGUGCUAGAACAUAUGGCAUCUUUUAUGGGAGAUUUUUUUGUGCUGGGAGACAGUGACAAAGUAGGUAUGUUGAACGCCAAAGAAUCUGCUUGUAAGCUUCUUCCCCACAAGGUGGCAAUAAAUGCUACAUGGUGAAAUAUAUGUGAUUGCAGAGAUUGGUAUUAACACCUCAAAAGUCAUGCCAAGCAGUCAUACCUCAGAGUAACAAACUAAAUCUGGAAAAGAAAGCUGUUCCAUGGAUAUAGACUAAUUCUGAGACUGACCUAACUCAUUUUGUGCACUUUUUCGGGACUGAAAAUAAAAUUACUUACAUAAUAAGUCCUCUAGGAUCUGCAAAUACUGAAGGUUAAAAGGUCAUCAGAGAAACUCUGAGACAUUCUCUUUAUCACUUUGAGAAUUAAGAAAGAGGUAUGAAUUUGAGAUAUAAAAGAAAGAAGAACUAACUAAAAAAAUUAAGAGCUGUUUGCAGACAGGAAUUGAAAGUGCCACUCACCAGCACAGAAGAACUUCUGCAGUGAAAUUGGGGAAGGGAAGAAAAGAAGGAAAGGAAAGAAAUCCCUGGUUGGCAUGAAUGUGAUAGGACGAAGACAAAGCAAAAAAGAAACAUCCAAACAAAAAAACAAGCUUGGAACUGUAGGAACAAAGAGAGACUAUGGUGGGAUAAAGCAUUUGUAUUUUAAACAUUAUGUUACCUGGUUAGAAAUGAAUUCAUUUGCUGAAGACAUAGAAUGAGUACCUUUGUUUUCAAAUCUUCAUUUAUCUGAGCAGCCACCUGAAGAUUCUGCUCAAACAUCUAAGACAAAAAUAGUUUAAUUAUAAAGAGAGGCCUUUAUCAGUGGUAAAACAAAGACAGAACUCCUGUUCUGUCAGUAGAUUCUCACUGGCACCAGCUCUACAGAUGCUUUUUGUUGGUGUUUUUUUUUCCCCAGAGAAUCCCAUUGACCAAACCAAAAGCCACUACUUUCACAAGUGUAAUUAAUAUAUUACUGGCAACCAUUAAUGCAUGCUGCAGUGUUCUCCUGAUACUGAAAACAGCUGCAUUUUUAAUUCAGCAAAACAGUACUUAAUCUCUUUAAUUCAGUAGUGCUUUGGCUUUACAGUGUAUCAAAGUUCUAGAGUCAGCUCCUGCAGUUAGUAGUGAAUAACACUACAACUCAAAUUCCUUUGCUUCUCUCGUAUAUGAAAGUAGCGAGCAACAGUAAAGUAAAGGAGCCUCUAAACCUUAGAAACACGAGCAGGUACAAGAUCUAGGUGACUUACAGGCAACUAUGUUUGAAAGGAGGCAAACUAGAAAGAAAGGAUUCAAAGCCAGGUGGAAA